AAGGAAAGGAAAGGAAAGGAAAGGAAAGGAAAGGAAAGGAAAGGAAAGGAAAGGAAAGGAAGAAAUAAAAAGAAAGAAGAGAAAGGAAGAAAGAAAAGUGAAAAAGGAAAAGGAUGAGGGUGAAAAAGGAGGAGUGAGAGUGUAAAAGGGGGUGAAAAACAGAGUGAAAAAAAGAAAAAAGAGUUGGAGUGGAAAAGAAAGGACAUUCGGGAGGGGCGGUGCUGCCUAAGGUGCUUCCGCGCCCGGGAGCGAAGGAGCCGCUUGAUGCCCUGGCGGGACCGCAGCUCCCGGUGGCGGAAACCGGAGCGGUGGCUGUCAGUCCGAGACUACAACUCCCGGCAGGCCCUGCGGCCGUAAAGCGCGGCGUCUGACGCAACGGCCGACGCGCCGUAGGAGUGGCUGGCGGCCCGAGGCGGCCGCGCGCCGGGGGAGCGGGCUGGGCGCGGGGAGCUCCCGGCGCCUGUGCCGCGCGGGACGGAGCCGCGGCAGCGACGCUGGAGGGGCGAAGCCUCCGUCCGGCCGCCCGCACGGAGCCGAGCGGCGCGGAAGGGGCGUCCGCCCGGUGCCUCGGCCUCGCUCAGCGGUCCCGGUGGCGGGGGCUCGGCUCGGGCGGGGCGCGCUGCCGCCCGCCGAUGGCGGAGCGCCAGGCGGUGCUUUGCUGCCGCGGGCCGGGAGCUGCAGGAGCCGCCCCGGGCGAGCGGCGCCGGGCGCUGCCGCGGUCACUGUGCGGCGGCUGCCCUCGGGCUGGCGGAGGCGCGGGAGCCGCCGAGCUGCAGCGUCUCCCUCGGGCCGCUGCCGCUGCUGCGGGCGGGGGCGGACGAGCGGCUGCGGAGGCGGCUCCGCGGCGGGCUCAGCCUUGCGAGCAGAGAGCGCUCGACAUCGCUGGCAUGACACGGCUGCUGAGUGCCUCAGUGCUCGUGGCUCUUCCUUCCACGCAAACAGAUGGAGCGGCAUCGCUGAGCAGUAAAACACAGCGAUGGCCCGGAGAAUGGCGAGCGCAAGGAGCGCCGGGCUGGAUCCUUCUGAUGGCACAGGUGCGAUCGGCAAACUCAGCCCCUUGUGCCCCUGCCCUCCCGACCCCCAGGGGAAAUGCUCUCCAGCCUCGAGCUGCUGAGAGACAAAACGUGUGAUUUGACACUAGGGUCCGGAAAAGGUUUCCGUUUAGAUUAGCAAAUGCCUCAAUCGUUCUUGGUUACAUCCUAGGAUCGGUUUUAGGCAGUGACUUUAUACCGCUUGUCGGAUUUUCUUGUGCAAUGGGUACUCAGAAAAUCUGUCUCCCUUAGAGUCCCACUGAAACAUUCUCCGUGCAAUCUCCGUUAAGUGCCAGGAGCCUGGAGAAACUGGAGAAGAGCCCAAGAGACAUUUUUCAUCCUGAGAUACAAAAGGAUUUAUUGGUUCUUGAAGGGCAAGAGGUGAGUACAAGCCUGACUACUUCUAGCUCACAGACCCGUCCGGUGAAUACAGCUUUGUAUUUUGAUGGGCUUUUGAUGACUUGGAAAUCAAUUGCUCAUUACAGUCAAAAGAAUUAAUGUUUUUUUGAACAUGACAGCAAAAAUAGCUUAAAGCACCAACUUAAUAAUAAUAGAUCACCCAUUUAAGGAAAUAAUUUUAUGCUAUACUAUCAAAAUGUAAAGGUAAAUGAUUAUGUAUUAGGAGGUGGUAUGAGAUGUAUGUUCUAAUGCGUAGCAUGUAUACAAAGAUACACACACACUUGCAAGUCCUUAGAGGAAACAAAUUUUUACAUCUUCUGUUUGACUGUUUACCAUAUAAUAGUUGGUUUUAUGUCCCGGGGAUCGGUGAAUUUUAAAUUUGGAGUCCUCUGUGCUAAGGAUGGUCAGCUUACAGGUGAUGAAAUGUUCAGUCAUGGGCAGGGAAGGACUCUCGUAUCCCGGUCGUCAGACUCAGCGCUGCCCGAGAAGAUACAGAGACUGUAAAAAUCAUAAGGAGCAAAUGUGACUGCAGAGGAAACAAACUGGAGAGAACAAAAGGUGAUAUUGUUCUCCUUCCCCUGGAUUAGAAACAUCCACUGCGCUUUGAUGCCGGUGGCUGCCAGGGGCUCGUUAGGUCUCUUUAGGCAGGUGUAGGUGUUCACUUGUAGGUUUUCUCUCUGGACAAGUCAAUUCAGACUUUGCUAAGCUUAUAUUUGAAAAUUACUCUCUAGUUCAGUCCAGCAUGACAUUUUUGAAUGUUGUAAAAAAACCAUGUUACUUGGAAAUCGCCAAUGAUGAGAAGCUUUAGGGAAAAAUAAGAUUUUGGGGUCGGGAGAUAGGGGUAGAAUUUUGUGGGGGUGUUAGACUGUAAUAAAGCACACCUUAGGCUGGCCUGGCACACUGGCAGAUCCCCUAUCCAACAGGAGUGCUUAGAUUAGCCUGGGUGCUGCCCAUUGUUUCUGUAGGAAUAAAUGUUUCCUGGCCUUCAGAAGUAAGCUGCUUUGAAAACCUGGAAGCUGCAGUACAGUGACAAUCCACGUGCUUGGGAUUCAGAGGAGAUUUCAGAAGGGUGAUGGGCUUUUGUCUUUUCCUACCAGUCCAUGUAAUCCUACGGAGGAGUUUUUAAUUGCGUGCUGCCGAGUCAUCCAUCAGAGCCCUGUUGUGCCGAUCAUCGUGCAAAUACAAAACAAAAAAUCAGAGCCUGUCCCAGCCCUUAGAGCCCAGCCCAUUAUUUCCUCAGGCUGCCUCUGUGUGCCAUUGAUACUCACCACGGGAGCGCGCUGAGGGUGGCUGCAGCUGUUGGGAGCAAACUCCUUCUCGGCACACAGCAACAGAACUGGGACGACGCCUGGGCCAGCGCCUCUCUGCUCUCGUCUCCCCAAUCUCCAGCAGAGCAGCUCCGGCCCAUCCGGGUGUGCGUGACCCAGUUCCCGAUGGUCUGAACGCGCUGGGCAGCGCUCGGCUGCUGUGGGGGUUCAGGGAAGGCAGAGUGUGCAUCAUCAUCCUCCUGAACCUACAGACAAACCCAAGGGAGAAGCCAUAGGGUGGCAAUCAGUCGCAUCCAUGCUAAAUAAAACUCGCAGGUGUUUGUAA